GACAGAGGGUGCAAACGUUGCUCGGAAUUACUGGGCGUAAAGCGCGUGUAGGCGGUUUCGCAAGUUUUGUGUGAAAGCCCAGGGCUCAACCCUGGAAGUGCACAGAAUACUACGGAGCUUGAGUACUGAAGAGGAGAGCGGAAUUCCCGGUGUAGAGGUGAAAUUCGUAGAUAUCGGGAGGAACACCAGUGGCGAAGGCGGCUCUCUGGGACGGUACUGACGCUGAGACGCGAAAGCGUGGGGAGCAAACAGG
rnacentral:rRNA from 1 species